rnacentral:rRNA from 1 species
UAAUACGGAGGGGGCGAGCGUUAUUCGGAAUUAUUGGGCGUAAAGGGCGCGUAGGCGGCUUGGCAAGUCAAAGGUGAAAUCCCUCGGCUCAACUGAGGAACUGCCUUUGAAACUGCCUGGCUUGAGGCCGGGAGGGGGUAGCGGAAUUCCCAGUGUAGCGGUGAAAUGCGUAGAUAUUGGGAGGAACACCAGUGGCGAAGGCGGCUACCUGGACCGGUUCUGACGCUGAUGCGCGAAAGCGUGGGUAGCAAACAGGAUUAGAUACCCUGGUAGUCCACGCUGUAAACGAUGGGUGCUCGGUGUCGCGGGUAUCGACCCCUGCGGUGCCUUAGCCAACGCGUUAAGCACCCCGCCUGGGGAGUACGGUCGCAAGGCUG